rnacentral:lncRNA from 1 species
GUUCUGACAUGUCUUUGGCCAAGACUUUCAGAUGCUAUGUAUUGAUGCCACUCAGAGUUCUUAACUCAGGGAUAUAAAUCAGGUUGUAGCAUGAAUAAGUGCAUAAAACUCAGUGGAAUGGAAUCUCAACCAUUCAGAGAGAAACAGAUGUCUUCCCCUUAUGUAUCUGCUAAAUACUCAGAAACUUCAAAAUGUGCACAGAAGGAGCUCUGAGAAACCAGACUGGGAAUUCCUGCCAAUCUGUGAACUGAAAUCUCUACCAAAGGACUCCUCCUCAGGGACACUGGCAAGGUGCAACACAAUGCCUCCAAGUCUCAGGACGUGCAUCAUGUGUGCUGUUAAAAAGAAGCAUCUCAUGGGAGCACAUCAUCGACUACCAGAGGAGCAGUAGAAGGAUAACACUUAUAUUUCCUCCCUUGAGCCAUGUCUCUCUACAGAUCUUUCCAUCAGAGCUCAAAAAAAAACAAAAAACAAAUCUGGAACAAAACCCUGCAUAAUAUUUUUUUCCAGCCAUGACUGUAAAACCCUUGCAGCUGAGAGACAACUCAGUACGUGUGAGAUGAGCUUCACGUGAUAAGUCUGGAAGGAAGUUAUGUUUCCCCACAGCUGUCCUGCUAAGAAAUGCAUGUAAAGGAACUUCAGCCAGGAACUUCCCCCCCAAACAAGCAAACAGCCUAUGGACUAACAAAGAAGAAAGAUUUGCAUCAUGAAGAGAAUUUCAGUAGACAUUUUGGAAGCAAACUAGAUAAGGGCAAAAGUGAACAAAAAGCAAUCCAUCUAGUGGUGCGUUGUUACCCAAUCACUGUGUGAAUGCUUCUCAUAAAUGUUUGAAGGAUGGCUCAUCUACAUUCCCAGUUACACACAUUACCAUACUCUUGUCAAGAAAAGUGAGGAAAAAAGAGUUCAUUGAGGCAGAGUUCUGGGCUGAGUGAGAGCUUUUCAAGAGCCUACAAGUAACUGACCUUCUCAUGUUGUCUCCAUUCCUUGGUUAGGACGCUCAAGUCCUCGAUCACAGCGGUAUGCAACGGUCAUAGAAUCCAUGGUGAAUUUGCUUUCCUUAAGCUUCACCAGAGUGGUCCUCUAUUUAAAGCUACCAAACACAUUAAAUACUUUAUCAAAAUACACCUUUUUAAAAUCUUCUUUUAAAACUUGACCAAAAACAACAAAGCUGCUAAUUUUUUUAAAUAAAUCACACUGAAAAAAACCUUAGCAGUAUCUCACCACAUUCAUUCUUAACAGCUUUUGCAACAGCUUAUGCUAAAUAUAAUCUUACUCUGGUGACAAGAGUUUCCCUGGUUGUUUUCUUCUAAACUCCCAACUACCAUGCUAGGAAAUCCUCUAAAAUUCAUAUAAUUUUACUUAUAAUUAUUAAUUGA